ensembl:lncRNA
AGCUACUCAUCUCACUGACCCAAACACAUUCUCACAGAGAAGAGGUGGACAGACUGACAAUUCUGCUGAAAUUAGCAGAAGCUGCUGAGAAUUGUGCUGAUAAGAGGUGAAAAGGCUGAAAAUUUUGCAGAAAAGAGGUGAAUCAGCAGAAUUUCUGCAGAAAAGAGGCAAAGGAGCAGAAACUUGCACUGAAAAGAGAUGAAUCAGCAGAGUUUCUGCUGAAAAGAAGUUUUUUUUUUUCUGAAAACAGCCCAAAAAAAUGGAAUUUGUGCUGAAAAGGGGUGAAAGAAAUGAAAAUUUUGCUGAAAAGGGGUGAAGAAGCUAAAGUAUACCAAAUCAAAGUAUUUGUGCCAAAACAUAGUGUUUCUGCCAUAUUGUGGUAUUUGUGCCACAAAAGUUACUACAUUACAACAUGAAUACGGAUUAAAGAUGAAAGAAACUGGCAACAAAUUCCUCC